CCUCGUCGAUCUGCUGCGGGCAGAUGAAGUGGAUGUGCGUGUCGAUGCCGCCCGCGGUGACGAUCAUGCCCUCGCCGGCAAUGAUCUCCGUGCCCGGCCCGAUGAUGAUGUUGAUGCCCGGCUGGAUGUCCGGGUUGCCCGCCUUGCCGAUGGCCGCGAUGCGCCCAUGCUUCAGGCCGAUGUCCGCCUUCACGAUGCCGGUGAUGGCGUCGAUGAUCAGCGCGUUGGUGAUGACGGUGUCUGCGCAGUCCUUGCUUGCGCGCUGGCUCUGGCCCAUGCCGUCGCGGA
rnacentral:sRNA from 1 species